CGGAGGGGGCUAGCGUUGUUCGGAAUUACUGGGCGUAAAGCGUACGUAGGCGGCUUUGUAAGUUAGAGGUGAAAGCCCGGGGCUCAACCCCGGAAUUGCCUUUAAGACUGCAUCGCUUGAACGUCGGAGAGGUGAGUGGAAUUCCGAGUGUAGAGGUGAAAUUCGUAGAUAUUCGGAAGAACACCAGUGGCGAAGGCGGCUCACUGGACGACUGUUGACGCUGAGGUACGAAAGCGUGGGAGCAAACAGGAUUAGAUACCCUGGUAGUCCACGCCGUAAACGAUGAUAACUAGCUGUCCGGGCACUUGGUGCCUGGGUGGCGCAGCUAACGCAUUAAGUUAUCCGCCUGGGGAGUACGGCCGCAAGGUUA
rnacentral:rRNA from 1 species